CCAGAAGAAGGCCCCAACUUGCCCACAAGGAGAAGAAUCCAGAUUACUGCUGCUGCCAUGGCUGCCCCAGCCUGCCCGGCCCCUGCUCUGUUCCGGCAACUACAACUUGGCCAGGACACUGCUUACCUCUCGACGCCCUUGUGAGGAAGCCUCAACAUCAUGAACUCUGGCGCAUGCGUACAGAGCACCUACUGCGUGCCAGGCACAGAGGAAGCCUCGACGGGCAGCACCCUGCCCCCCACGGAGCUUGCACACCACCGAGCAGGUGAGGCAAAGGCGGAUGGAGGAAGGGAACUCUGAGAGCCGGUCUCCUCCUCAGGCACCCACUGCACAAGAUCCAGAGAGCAGAUGAAAAACAGAAGCCACCAUCCGAACACAGGAAUGUAUAUUAUUAGCAGUUGGAGCAGGCACUGGAGUCCUUCGAAUCCGCUGCCGACCAACUAUAUUGCCCAAUCCUUCCGGUUAAUU